UGCAAGUCGAACGGCAGCGCGGGGCAACCUGGYGGCGAGUGGCGAACGGGUGAGUAAUAUAUCGGAACGUACCCUNGAGUGGGGGAUAACGUAGCGAAAGUUACGCUAAUACCGCAUACGAUCUAWGGAUGAAAGUGGGGGAUUCGCAAGAACCUCAUGCUCGUGGAGCGGCCGAUAUCUGAUUAGCUAGUUGGUAGGGUAAAAGCCUACCAAGGCAUCGAUCAGUAGCUGGUCUGAGAGGACGACCAGCCACACUGGAACUGAGACACGGUCCAGACUCCUACGGGAGGCAGCAGUGGGGAAUUUUGGACAAUGGGCGAAAGCCUGAUCCAGCAAUGCCGCGUGAGUGAAGAAGGCCUUCGGGUUGUAAAGCUCUUUUGUCAGGGAAGAAACGGUGGACUCUAAUACAGGCCACUAAUGACGGUACCUGAAGAAUAAGCACCGGCUAACUACGUGCCAGCAGCCGCGGUAAUACGUAGGGUGCAAGCGUUAAUCGGAAUUACUGGGCGUAAAGCGUGCGCAGGCGGUUUUGUAAGUCUGACGUGAAAUCCCCGGGCUCAACCUGGGAAUUGCGUUGGAGACUGCAAGGCUAGAGUUUGGCAGAGGGGGGUAGAAUUCCACGUGUAGCAGUGAAAUGCGUAGAUAUGUGGAGGAACACCGAUGGCGAAGGCAGCCCCCUGGGUCAAGACUGACGCUCAUGCACGAAAGCGUGGGGAGCAAACAGGAUUAGAUACCCUGGUAGUCCACGCCCUAAACGAUGUCUACUAGUUGUCGGGUCUUAAUUGACUUGGUAACGCAGCUAACGCGUGAAGUAGACCGCCUGGGGAGUACGGUCGCAAGAUUAAAACUCAAAGGAAUUGACGGGGACCC
rnacentral:rRNA from 1 species